rnacentral:ncRNA from 1 species
CACACCCGCGUGGGAGAGACCGCCCAGGCAGCAUCAGGGCGGCGCCGAAGGGGCAAAUCCUCCCCGGAACCUCUCAGGCAAAAGGACCUCGCGGGGCAG